rnacentral:rRNA from 1 species
AGGACGAACGCUGGCGGCGUGCUUAACACAUGCAAGUGGAGCGACGAACCAGGGCUUGCCCUGGGGCAGAGCCGCGAACGGGUGAGUAACACGUGGGUUACCUGCCUCGAUGACCGGGACAACCCGAGGAAACUCGGGCUAAUACCGGAUGUGCCCGCAAGGGGAAAGGAAGCUUCGGCCUCCGCAUCGAGAUGGGCCCGCGGCCCAUUAGCUUGUUGGUGAGGUAACGGCUCACCAAGGCUUCGAUGGGUAGCUGGUCUGAGAGGACGAUCAGCCACACUGGGACUGAGACACGGCCCAGACUCCUACGGGAGGCAGCAGUGGGGAAUCUUGCGCAAUGCGCGAAAGCGUGACGCAGCAACGCCGCGGUGGGGGAAGAAGGCUUUCGGGUUGUAAACCCCUUUCAGUUGGGACGAAGCUUCUCCGGUGAAUAGCCGGACGGAGUGACGGUACCUUCACAAGAAGCACCGGCUAACUACGCGCCAGCAGCCGCGGU